rnacentral:rRNA from 1 species
UACGUAGGGUGCGAGCGUUAAUCGGAAUUACUGGGCGUAAAGUGUGCGCAGGCGGCCGCGCAAGUCGAGUGUGAAAUCCCCGAGCUUAACUUGGGAAUUGCGCUCGAAACUACGUGGCUGGAGUGUGGCAGAGGAGGGUGGAAUUCCACGUGUAGCGGUGAAAUGCGUAGAGAUGUGGAGGAACACCGAUGGCGAAGGCAGCCUUCUGGGCCAACACUGACGCUCAUGCACGAAAGCGUGGGGAGCAAACAGG